GACGAACGCUGGCGGCGUGCUUAACACAUGCAAGUCGAACGGAAAGGCCCUGCUUUUGUGGGGUGCUCGAGUGGCGAACGGGUGAGUAACACGUGAGUAACCUGCCCUUGACUUUGGGAUAACUUCAGGAAACUGGGGCUAAUACCGGAUAGGAGCUCCUGCUGCAUGGUGGGGGUUGGAAAGUUUCGGCGGUUGGGGAUGGACUCGCGGCUUAUCAGCUUGUUGGUGGGGUAGUGGCUUACCAAGGCUUUGACGGGUAGCCGGCCUGAGAGGGUGACCGGCCACAUUGGGACUGAAAUACGGCCCAGACUCCUACGGGAGGCAGCAGUGGGGAAUAUUGCACAAUGGGCGGAAGCCUACUGCAGCAACGCCGCGUGCGGGAUGACGGCCUUCGGGUUGUAAACCGCUUUCGCAUGUGACGAAGCGUGAGUGACGGUAAUGGGUAAAGAAGCACCGGCUAACUACGUG
rnacentral:rRNA from 1 species